rnacentral:rRNA from 1 species
CCUACGGGUGGCAGCAGUGAGGAAUAUUGGUCAAUGGGCGCGAGCCUGAACCAGCCAAGUAGCGUGCAGGAUGACUGCCCUACGGGUUGUAAACUUCUUUUAUAAGGGAAUAAAGUGCGGCACGUGUGCCUUUUUGUAUGUACCUUAUGAAUAAGGAUCGGCUAACUCCGUGCCAGCAGCCGCGGUAAUACGGAGGAUCCGAGCGUUAUCCGGAUUUAUUGGGUUUAAAGGGAGCGUAGGUGGGUUGUUAAGUCAGGUGUGAAAGUUUGCGGCUCAACCGUAAAAUUGCAGUUGAUACUGGCAGCCUUGAGUACAGUGGAGGUAGGCGGAAUUCGUGGUGUAGCGGUGAAAUGCUUAGAUAUCACGAAGAACUCCGAUUGCGAAGGCAGCUUACUGGAGUGCCACUGACAUUGAUGCUCGAAAGUGUGGGUAUCAAACAGGAUUAGAUACCCUGGUAGUC